GACGAACGCUGGCGGCGUGCCUAAUACAUGCCAGUUGAGCGAUGAAGAUUGGUGCUUGCCCCAAUUUGAAGAGCAGCGAACGGGUGAGUAACGCGUGGGGAAUCUGCCUUUGAGCGGGGGACAACAUUUGGAAACGAAUGCUAAUACCGCAUAACAACUUUAAACAUAAGUUUUAAGUUUGAAAGAUGCAAUUGCAUCACUCAAAGAUGAUCCCGCGUUGUAUUAGCUAGUUGGUGAGGUAAAGGCUCACCAAGGCGAUGAUACAUAGCCGACCUGAGAGGGUGAUCGGCCACAUUGGGACUGAGACACGGCCCAAACUCCUACGGGAGGCAGCAGUAGGGAAUCUUCGGCAAUGGACGAAAGUCUGACCGAGCAACGCCGCGUGAGUGAAGAAGGGUUUCGGAUCGUAAAACUCUGUUGGUAGAGAAGAACGUUGGUGAGAGUGGAAAGCUCAUCAAGUGACGGUAACUACACAGAAAGGGACGGCUAACUACGUG
rnacentral:rRNA from 1 species